rnacentral:rRNA from 1 species
GACGAACGCUGGCGGCGCGCUUAACACAUGCAAGUCGAGCGAUGAAAUCUUAACAGAACCCUUCGGGGUGAAGAUAAGACGGAUUAGCGGCGGACGGGUGAGUAACACGUGAGUAACCUGCCUUUUACACAGGGAUAGCCUCAGGAAACCGGGAUUAAAACCUGAUGAAACUAUCAAAUCACAUGAUUAAGAAAGUUAAAACUCCGGUGGUAAAAGAUGGACUCGCGUCCCAUUAGCUAGUUGGUGAAGGUAACGGCCCACCAAGGCAACGAUGGGUAGCCGGCCUGAGAGGGUGAACGGCCACAUUGGAACUGAGAAACGGUCCAAACUCCUACGGGAGGCAGCAGUGGGGAAUAUUGCACAAUGGGGGAAACCCUGAUGCAGCGACGCCGCGUGAGCGAAGAAGGCCUUCGGGUCGUAAAGCUCUUUUAUAUGGGAAGAUAAUGACGGUACCAUAAGGAAAAGCCCCGGCUAACUACGUG